ACGGAGGGUGCGAGCGUUGUCCGGAAUCACUGGGCGUAAAGGGCGCGUAGGUGGCGCGGUAAGCGUGCGGUGAAAGCCCGGGGCUCAACUCCGGGUCUGCCGUGCGAACUGCCGGGCUUGAGCACGGUAGAGGCCAAUGGAAUUCCGGGUGUAGCGGUGGAAUGCGUAGAGAUCCGGAAGAACACCGGUGGCGAAGGCGGUUGGCUGGGCCGUUGCUGACACUGAGGCGCGACAGCGUGGGGAGCAAACAGGAUUAGAUACCCUGGUAGUCCACGCCGUAAACGAUGGGCACUAGGUGCUUGGGGGAGCGACCCCUUGAGUGCCGGCGCUAACGCAUGAAGUGCCCCGCCUGGGGAGUACGGCCGCAAGGCUG
rnacentral:rRNA from 1 species